UCCACUGGCGAUAGCACGUUGAAUGAACCAAUUCCCCCACGGAUCACUGAAGUUAAGCAACGUUGAGCGUGGUUAGUACCUGAAAGGUGACCAUUUGGGGAAUCGCGUGCUGCUGGGU
rfam:Asian citrus Psyllid, Diaphorina citri - Florida Strain, whole genome shotgun sequence.